rnacentral:rRNA from 1 species
AACGAACGCUGGCGGCAUGCCUAACACAUGCAAGUCGAACGAGACCUUCGGGUCUAGUGGCGCACGGGUGCGUAACGCGUGGGAACCUGCCCUUAGGUUCGGAAUAACUCCCCGAAAGGGGUGCUAAUACCGGUUAAUGUCUUCGGACCAAAGAUUUAUCGCCUUUGGAUGGGCCCGCGUUGGAUUAGCUAGUUGGUAGGGUAAAAGCCUACCAAGGCGACGAUCCAUAGCUGGUCUGAGAGGAUGAUCAGCCACACUGGGACUGAGACACGGCCCAGACUCCUACGGGAGGCAGCAGUGGGGAAUAUUGGACAAUGGGCGAAAGCCUGAUCCAGCAAUGCCGCGUGAGUGAUGAAGGCCUUAGGAUUGUAAAGCUCUUUUACCCGGGAUGAUAAUGACAGUACCGGGAGAAUAAGCUCCGGCUAACUCCGUG